UACAGAGGGGGCAAGCGUUGUUCGGAAUUAUUGGGCGUAAAGGGUGCGUAGGCGGUUUGGUAAGUCUGAUGUGAAAUCUAUGGGCUCAACUCAUAGUCUGCAUCGGAAACUGCCGGGCUUGAGUAUGGGAGAGGUGAGUGGAAUUCCUGGUGUAGCGGUGAAAUGCGUAGAUAUCAGGAGGAACACCUGUGGCGAAAGCGGCUCACUGGACCAUAACUGACGCUGAUGCACGAAAGCUAGGGGAGCAAACAGGG
rnacentral:rRNA from 1 species